GAAAAUUAACAGUAUAUUGGAUGUUUAUGGCAUUUGGAUAAGUGAAAUAAAUGACAGCCAUGUUAUAAGGGAACAUAGAAGGGAAGAAUUGGGUAGCACAUGGACUUUGUUAGAAGGUCCCUGUGCUACCCAUGAAGGAAUGUAGUGUUAUUUGAAAGUGGAUUAGCUGAAAAUGUAUAUUUCAAAGCCAAUAGCAACCAUUAAAAGCUCUGUUAAGGCAUUAUAAUUGAUAUGCUAAAACAGGAGAGAAAAUAGAACUUUGUAAAAUGCUCAAAGUCACAACAGGCAAAAGAGGGGAAGAUUUUAGUCACACACACAAAAAAUGCAGAAAAUAGAAAACCAUUGUAAUAAACAUGGCAACUAUCAAUCCAACUAAACCAAUAAUGACUUUAUAUGUAUAUUGUCUAAAUAUACCAAUUAAAAGAACGAGAUCAUCAGAGUGUAUUAAGAAGCAGGCCCAACUAUAUAUUGUCUACAAGAAACCCACCUUACAUAUAAAAACACAGAUAGCUCAAAAGUAAAUACAUAACAUAUACCAUGCUAACACUAAUAAAAAGAAAGCUGGAAUAGAUAUAUUUAUUUCAGACAAAGAUGACCUCAGAGAAAGAAAUAUUCUCAGGGAUAAAGCGGGGCAUUGCAUAGAGAUAAAUGUGUCAAAUCUUGAAGAAGACAUAACAACCCUUAAUAUGUAUGUAUCAACAACAGGGCAUCAUAAUAUGUGAGACAAAAACUAAUUGAACUGCAAGGAGAAAUAGACAAAUCCACUGUUAUAGGUGGAGACUUCAACACAUCUCUACCAGUAAUUGAUUAAUCCAUCAUCAGGCCAAUCUGCAAGGAUAUAAUUGAAAUGAACAACACUAUUAAUCAACUUUAUCUAAUUGAUAUUUAUACAGAAAGAAGCCUCAGCAAUCUCCAAGGAGGUAUGAAGUUGGAUCACCUCUGUCCAUUUCACUUUGCUGAUAUGAGGAUAUAUUGAGAGAGAGAGAGUGCAUGUGUGUGUGCAUAUGUGUGUGUGUGUGUCCAGACCAACACCAGGCAUAAUACUACAACAAGAUACGUCUUGUGCUGCUGGGAGAGCUUACACUAUAGUCUGAACUUCUACAGAGCCUUUUCCUACUGUAAACCUCACUCAAAAAUGACAGCCUUCCAUUUCACAAGAGGAAUCUGGAAACAAAGGCAUCAAUAGCAACAAGCACAUCUAUAGACAGACCUUGGUUUCUAAACACCAUUCUCUGUGCAAAGGAACCAAAAAUUAUCGAAGACCUUAUGUCUGCUCUGGCAACAUUCAGGUGAUACUGGGACAUCUUAUUUUGCCAGAAAGAAAAGGAAUAUCCAAGACUAAUUGCAAUGUAUCAAGGGGACACAGAAGCCAGCUUGAAUGGGUUUCUUUUGUGAACAUUUUGAGAGUUGAAAAUCAAAAACUUAUGGACUCAGCCAGGCACAGUGGCUCAGAUCUGUAAUCCCAGCACUUUGGGAGGCUGAAACAAGCAGAUCAUCUGAGGUCAGGAGUUUGAGACCAGCCUGGCCCACAUGGUGAAACCCUGUCUCUACUAAAAAUACAAAAAUUGGCCAGACGUGGUGGCACACAUCUGUAAUCCCAGCUAAUUAGGAGGAUGAGGCAGGAGAAUUGCUUGAUUCCAGGAGGCAGAGGUUGCAGUGAGCCAAGAUCGUGCCACUGCACUCCAGCCUGGGUGACAGAGGGUAACUCCGUCUCAAAAAAAAAAAAAAAAAAAAAAUUACAGACUCUAAUUGAUUGUAAAAUAUUGAGUAAACAAAAAUCCAAGAAUGAAUAGAGAUACUUAAAAGAUGAGAAGGAAAAAAAAAAUUUACCAUCAUUAAAGUAGACUAUUUCACCAAGGAUUUACUCUGAAAAUUUGAUAAUUAAAGUAAAAUUAUCUACCUGCUCUUUAUAUACAGAAAUGAGUUUCUUGUUUGAUGAAGAAAAUCUCUUUAUAGAAGAAUGCCAGCAAAUAUAUUGUAUUAGUCUAUUCCUGCACUGCUCUAAAGAAAUACCUGAGACACACUUCGGGAGACUGAGGCGGGCAGAUCACAAGGUCAGGAGAUUGAGACCAUCCUGGCUAACAUGGUGAAGCUCCAUCUCUACUGAAAAAAGGUACAAAAAAUUAGCCGGGCGUGGUGGCGGGCUCCUGUAGUCCCAGCUACUCAGGAGGCUGAGGCAGGAGAACAGUGUGAACCCAGGAGGCAGAGCUUGCAGUGAGCCGAGAUCGCGCUACUGCACUCCAGCCUGGGCGACAGAGUGAGACUCCAUCUCAAAAAAAAAAAAAAGAAAAGAAAAAGAAAUACCUGAGACUGAGUAACUUAUAAAGAAAAGAGGCUUCAUUGGCUCAUGGUUCUGCAGGUUGUACAAGAAGCAUAGCAGCAUUUACUUCUGGGGAGGCCU
rnacentral:lncRNA from 10 species